rnacentral:rRNA from 1 species
GAUGAACGCUGGCGUCGUGCCUAAUACAUGCAAGUCGAGCGAACAGAUGAGUAGCUUGCUCCUCUGACGUUAGCGGCGAACGGGUGAGUAACACGUGGAUAACCUACCUAUAAGACUGGGAUAACUUCUGGAAACCGGAGCUAAUACCGGAUAAUAUAUUUAACCGCAUGGUUCAAUAGUGAAAGCCGGUUUUUCUGUCACUUAUCUCUGGAUCCGCGCCGCAUUAGCUAGUUGGUAAGGUAACGGCUUACCAAGGCAACGAUGCGUAGCCGACCUGAGAGGGUGAGCGGACACUCUGGAACUGAGAGACGGUCCAGACUCCUACGGGAGGCAGCAGUAGGGAAUCUGCCGCAAUGGGAGAAAGCCUGAAGGAGAAACGCCGCGUGAGUGAUGAAGGUCUUCGGAUCGUAAAACUAUGUUAUUAGGGAAGAACAAAUGUGUAAGUAACUAUGCACGUCUUGACGGUACCUAAUCAGAAAGCCACGGCUAACUACGUG